AGAAUCAACGCUGGCGGCGUGCCUAACACAUGCAAGUCGCACGAGAAAGGGUAGCAAUACCUGAGUACAGUGGCGCACGGGUGAGUAACACGUGAAUAAUCUACCUCCGAGUGGGGAAUAACUGAGAGAAAUCUUAGCUAAUACCGCAUAACACUUACGAGUCAAAGCAGCAAUGCGCUUGGAGAGGAGUUCGCGGCAGAUUAGUUAGUUGGCGGGGUAAUGGCCCACCAAGACGAUGAUCUGUAUCCGGCCUGAGAGGGCGCACGGACACACUGGAACUGAAACACGGUCCAGACUCCUACGGGAGGCAGCAGUGGGGAAUUUUGCGCAAUGGGGGAAACCCUGACGCAGCAACGCCGCGUGGAGGAUGGAAAUAUCUUGGUAUGUAAACUCCUUUCGAUGGGGAAGAUUAUGAUGGUACCAUAGAAGAAGCCCGGCUAACUUCGUGCCAGCAGCCGCGGUAA
rnacentral:rRNA from 1 species